AUACAGAAAGCACUCAGAAUAACGUGGGGGCGGAUAAAUUUGGCAGCUGGAGAUUUGCAAAUACUAACUACUAUAUAUAAAAAUAGAUUAAAAAACAAAUUUAUUCUGUAUAGCACAAGGUUCAGUAUGUUCGGUAUCUUGUUAAAACUUUUAAUGAAAAAGAAUAUGAAAACGAAUAUAUGUAUGUAUAUGCAUGACUGGGACACUGUGCUGUACACCAGAGAUCGAGACAUUAUAACCGACUAUACUUCAAUUCAAAAAAAAAAAAAAGAAAGAAACGAAAGAAAAAAAAAACGUGUAGGAUGGAUAGAUGGAUAGAUGAAUGAAUGAACGGGCAAACAAGGCCCCAGUGGACCCCAGAGAGUGGAGGCUCCUAAAUUCAGCCCAGGCUCAAACAACAGCAAAAGACGCCUCUGGUCAGCUGGCAGGCCCAGCCACCAGGCGAAGCCCCUCGCAUCUCCGUGGAGACGGCAGCAGGACCCGCCCCGCCCUCGGGCCGCAGCCUCGGCCUCCUUAUCUGGCGGUGGAAUGCGCGGUAUCCACACAAGCUGCCUCUAGGGCCGCGCCUCCUCUCCCUCGCGACAGCCACACGCGCGGGACCCCCACAUCUCCAAGGAGGAGUGGGAGACUCCUCUGCGUCCCGCUAGGACCCCGCUUCGAUAUUCCCAGAGGACUGGGGAGAGGUGGGGAGAGAUCACAGCAGCAGCUGCACCGCGAAUACCGCAUCCGUGUCGCGCCACGCAGGGGACCGUGGGCUCAGCGCGUGGCGCCUGGAGAGUCUGACUGGGGCAGAGUCGGGAAAGGGGAUGGAAAUCCCCGGGUGAGUCAACUCGUGCCAGAGAAGGGGCGAGGUUCCCAUGCACGGCUGGGGCCACGCGCGCCCGCACCCACGCGCCAUCGCCGAGCCCCAGGGGAAAGAAGAGGCGGCGGAGCCACGCGGUCGGGUUCACCUUCCUUCCAAAACAAAGCCACGACCCCGCGACGGGGCUGGAAAAGACGAACUACUCGGAGAAACUGAGGCAGAGGACCAGACGUGCAGGAGAUAUACUCUUGGCCCAUACCUGAGACCCUGAAAUUGGAGAAGCGCAUGGAAUCCCUUUUAUUUACUUACCAAGGAGCCACGAAACACCUACUAAGUGU